AUUGAACGCUGGCGGCAGGCCUAACACAUGCAAGUCGGACGGUAGCACAGAGAGCUUGCUCUCGGGUGACGAGUGGCGGACGGGUGAGUAAUGUCUGGGGAUCUGCCCGAUAGAGGGGGAUAACCACUGGAAACGGUGGCUAAUACCGCAUAACGUCGCAAGACCAAAGAGGGGGACCUUCGGGCCUCUCACUAUCGGAUGAACCCAGAUGGGAUUAGCUAGUAGGCGGGGUAACGGCCCACCUAGGCGACGAUCCCUAGCUGGUCUGAGAGGAUGACCAGCCACACUGGAACUGAGACACGGUCCAGACUCCUACGGGAGGCAGCAGUGGGGAAUAUUGCACAAUGGGCGCAAGCCUGAUGCAGCCAUGCCGCGUGUAUGAAGAAGGCCUUCGGGUUGUAAAGUACUUUCAGCGGGGAGGAAGGCCAUAAGGUUAAUAACCUUGUCGAUUGACGUUACCCGCAGAAGAAGCACCGGCUAACUCCGUGCCAGCAGCCGCCGUAA
rnacentral:rRNA from 1 species